GACGAACGCUGGCGGCGUGCUUAACACAUGCAAGUCGAACGAUGAACCCGGAGCUUGCUCCGGCGGAUUAGUGGCGAACGGGUGAGUAACACGUGAGUAACCUGCCCUUGACUCUGGGAUAACUGCGGGAAACUGUAGCUAAUACCGGAUACGACCCUCGGCGGCAUCGCCAGGGGGUGGAAGGAAUUUCGGUCAAGGAUGGACUCGCGGCCUAUCGGCUAGUUGGUGAGGUAACGGCUCACCAAGGCGACGACGGGUAGCCGGCCUGAGAGGGUGACCGGCCACACUGGGACUGAGACACGGCCCAGACUCCUACGGGAGGCAGCAGUGGGGAAUAUUGCACAAUGGGCGCAAGCCUGAUGCAGCAACGCCGCGUGAGGGAUGACGGCCUUCGGGUUGUAAACCUCUUUUAGUAGGGAAGAAGCGAAAGUGACGGUACCUGCAGAAAAAGCACCGGCUAACUACGUGCCAGCCGCCGCCGUAA
rnacentral:rRNA from 1 species